rnacentral:rRNA from 1 species
AUUGAACGCUGGCGGCAGGCCUAACACAUGCAAGUCGAGCGAGCGGCGGACGGGUGAGUAAUGUCUGGGAAACUGCCUGAUGGAGGGGGAUAACUACUGGAAACGGUAGCUAAUACCGCAUACCAUCAGAUGUGCCCAGAUGGGAUUAGCUAGUAGGUUGGGUAACGGCUAACCUAGGCGACGAUCCCUAGCUGGUCUGAGAGGCUGACCAGCCACACUGGAACUGUGACACGGUCCGGAAUCCUACGGGAGGCAGCAGUGGGGAAUAUUGCACAUGGGGCGCAAGCCUGAUGCCGCCAUGCCGCGUGGUUGAAGAAGGCCUUCGUGUUGUAAAGCACUUUCAGCGGGGAGGCGGUACCCGCAGAAGAAGCACCGGCUAACUCCGUGCCAGCCGCCGCGGUAAUUC